GAUUCGGUAGCUCAGUCGGUAGAGCAGCGGCCUUUUAAGCCGUGGGUCGAGGGUUCAAGUCCCUCCCGAGUCA
rnacentral:tRNA from 1 species